rnacentral:misc_RNA from 1 species
AAAAAAAUUAAAUUUUUUUCCAUUUCUCUUAUUCAUAUUAAUUAGUUUAGUUUGUUUAAUUAUUUUUCUAAUUUUAAGUGUAGGGAAAAUUAUUAUAGCUAAAAUUUUUUAUUAGUUAGACCAUUUCUUUUGACCCCAUUGACCCAAACUCUUGGCUUUGCCACUGAUGCUAAGUGAUUAUUCAUAUGAGGUAUUAGGAUUUAAGGUGAUCUUAUGUUAGUGUUCUUGAUUUUAUUUUUUGGCCAGAAGUCAAGCCUCACCAAUGCCAUUCAAAUAUUGAUGAUAGCAAGAUAUUGUUACUGGAUGUGGCAUUCAAAUUUUUUCUCCUUGAAGGGUAGAAUCUUAUUUUGAUGAUACCUCAAUCUUUUUCCCCCUUCACUGGUUUAAAUGUUUUCUCUUUCCUUAGAUUAGUUUUCACAAUUUAAGUGCCUUUUUAUGUUCUUAGGUUAUAAUGUUUUCUGCUGGAUGGAAUUUUCUUGUUAACUCAAGCUUUUGUCAUGCAUUCUCAAAAUUGAAAUUCUAUUCUUCUUCUAGUCUAUAUAUAUGAGGGAAAUAAAUUAUGCAAAGCAGGAUACGCCUACCAAAGCAUGGUGAUUUUGGAAGGGAAAAUCUUCUAAAGAGAAACAUCAUUCCAUUAUAUUUUGGGAUUUAUAAAUAGCUUUCUUCACCCUACUCAUUUUAAGAAACUUUACUUUCAUUGACUUUCUAUCUGAAUUUUCCCCUUUAAGCCAAAUUUCAUCAUGGCAUGAUCCAUUUAUGCGCAUCAUUUCAUUAGUAGUUAAGCUUGUGCAAAUCAUCAUUUCAAUAUCAGAUGGUAGUUGAUCUUAAUGCUGUUUAUAAUUAUAGAAAAGAUUACGAAAAUAUGUUAACUGUAGUACUGUACUUCAAUUAGAACUUAUGGGUUGGCUUUUUUAUUUUAAUUCAACAUGGGCUGGAUGUCAGUUUCAGACUUGACUGUGGUUGAUUAAGCUUUGGAAAAUAAAUGAUGCCUCCUAUGAGUGGAUGAGUUUACAUGGCUAAACCAGUUGUAUGUGCAGAUGUGUACAGGCAUAUGCAUUAUUAUGGUAUUAUUUACAUAAACUUCCAAUGGCAUGCAUACCACAUCACUUGUUUGUGCUGCAUUAAAUUCUUCUAUAAUCUCUUUUGCAAAAUUUGAAACAUUUCUUAUCUUCUCAUGCUCAACCCUUAUAUAUUCCCAGGAUUGGAUAGACAUCGAUUUUG